rnacentral:rRNA from 1 species
UACGAAGGGGGCGAGCGUUAUUCGGAAUCACUGGGCGUAAAGCGUGCGUAGGCUGUUUGGCAAGUUGGAAGUGAAAGCCCAGGGCUCAACCCUGGAAUUGCUUUCAAAAUUGCCAGACUCGAAUCUCGGAGAGGAUAGCGGAAUUUCCAGUGUAGUAGUGAAAUACGUAGAUAUUGGAAGGAACACCAGUGGCGCAAGCGGCUAUCUGGACGAGUAUUGACGCUGAGGCACGAAAGCGUGGGGAGCAAACAGG